rnacentral:rRNA from 1 species
UACUAGAGUAGCACUCGCAUAUCAAUAAGCGGAGGAAAAGAAACUAACAAGGAUUCCCCUAGUAACGGCGAGUGAAGCGGGAAGAGCUCAAAUUUGAAAUCUUAAAGGGUUUCCCUUUACGAAUUGUAGUUUAAAGAAGUGUUUUCUGUUGAGGUUUUGGUAAAAGUUCUUUGGAAUAGGACAUCAUAGAGGGUGAGAAUCCCGUAUUUGACCUUACUUUCAACUUUGUGAUACACUUUCAAAGAGUCGGAUUGUUUGGGAAUGCAGUCCAAAAUGGGUGGUAAAUUUCAUCUAAAGCUAAAUAUUGGCGAGAGACCGAUAGCGAACAAGUACCGUGAGGGAAAGAUGAAAAGAACUUUGAAAAGAGAGUUAAACAGUACGUGAAAUUGUCAAAAGGGAAGCGUUUGACACCAGUGUUGUUUUUCUGAAAAUCAAUUAAAGAACUGUUUAUGCUAAGCUGUUUAGACUUUAUCAGCUAUCUGUUUAGUUUUGAGCUUUUCUUUAAUGCACUUUUCAGUUAACAAGUCAACAUCAAUUUCUCUUGCUGUAAAAAAGCUUGAGGAAGGUGGCUUGAGAUUCGUCUUAAGUGUUUAUAGCCUCUUGCCUAUGCAGUCGGAGAGAUUGAGGUCUGCAGCGUAGAUCCUUCGGGGCUAAAUGCAUUUGUGCUAAGUUAUAGCAUUUUAUAGACAACUUGUUGACUAUGAUUUGUCUUGUAGCUUACUCGCUUAUGUUAUUUUACCUACGCUUAGGAUGUUGAGCGCAUGUCUCUCUCU